UGACCGCUGGCGGCGUGCCUACUACAUGCAAGUCGAGCGAACAGAUAAGGAGCUUGCUCCUUUGACGUUAGCGGCGGACGGGUGAGUAACACGUGGGUAACCUACCUAUAAGACUGGAAUAACUCCGGGAAACCGGGGCUAAUGCCGGAUAACAUUUAGAACCGCAUGGUUCUAAAGUGAAAGAUGGUUUUGCUAUCACUUAUAGAUGGACCCGCGCCGUAUUAGCUAGUUGGUAAGGUAACGGCUUACCAAGGCAACGAUACGUAGCCGACCUGAGAGGGUGAUCGGCCACACUGGAACUGAGACACGGUCCAGACUCCUACGGGAGGCAGCAGUAGGGAAUCUUCCGCAAUGGGCGAAAGCCUGACGGAGCAACGCCGCGUGAGUGAUGAAGGUCUUCGGAUCGUAAAACUCUGUUAUUAGGGAAGAACAAAUGUGUAAGUAACUGUGCACGUCUUGACGGUACCUAAUCAGAAAGCCACGGCUAACUACGUG
rnacentral:rRNA from 1 species